GAGUGAAUGGUUUCAAGAAUUCUUAUUGAUUCCCAAAACUCAAGUGAUUUACAAUGAAGGGAGAGGCAUCUAUUUAUAGUUGAGCCUCCACAAAUCCAACGGUACAUAUCAAUUACAUCAACGGUUAAAAUUAAAGGAUAUCUACAAAUUAAAUCUCCAAGAUUACAAGAUCAUAUCUUCAAGAUUGCAUAUCAUAUCUAAGAUUGCAUAUCAUAUCUAAGAUUGCAUAUCCUUAAAGAUUAUAUUUCCAUAUGAGUCAAGCUCAUAGAUGGACCUUCAAUCUUUUCAAGUAAUGGGCCAUUUCGAUUGGGCCAAAUUUUAUGUUUGUAAUUUUGUACUGGACUUGGACUUUGUUUUUUUUUUUAAAAAUUAUUUUUGGGCCCGGGCAAAAUUGAGUGUCUACAGCUGCCCCUCUUUGCUCAUUGCUGUGUAACAGGAAUAGAGCAAAAACUAUAAAAGGACCAAUUUUGCCCGGGCUCGCCGAGUCUUGAGUUCUUGAUCCUUGAUCUUCUUUAAAUGGCCUCUUGACGGCUUCAAUCUGCUUCACUGCAACUUAGGAAGGCGAUAUCUGCUAUCUUUGAUCUGCUCCCCGUCUAAUACAGAGACACCAAAUCUGUUAUCUUCGAUCUGUUUUCUGA
rnacentral:lncRNA from 1 species